AUAAAGAUAUAAACAAUUUACAGAAGAACUACUUUGAGUGACUCAAGAUGGCUGUGUAUUGGACUGUGGUUGUUUUAUCCGUUCUUUAUUAUAACACCAAUGGAGCAAGUAUUAAUCAAGCUGCUCCGACACUCGAUCCAACACUAGCAUGUUCUGUUGAUGGUCAUCUGGUACCUAAUGGUCAAAACUUCACCACCAAGAUAAAUGGUCCUUGUUUUACUUUUAGAUGCGUUAAUAGGGCUUAUAUUCCUAUAGAAUUCAAAUGUCCGUAUGGUAAAGGGUGUUUAGCUAUUGGUUCGAAUGUGUCCACUGUUCAAUGCAUAACGCAACAAUGUCAGAAGAAUGGAAAUUAUGUUGGUUACAAUAUAAUUAAAGGCGGAUGUUCUGGGUUUGAUAACACAUGUAUCGAUGUAAAUGCGACAUACCAAGAUGGCUGUAUAACUUAUAAAUGUUUAAAAAAUGACAAUACUUAUCAUUUGGCGCAUGUAGAAUGGGGCUGUAGAUUCAGAAAUACAUGUUUAAAGGCCGGUCAUAUUGAAAAGACCCAAUGUCAAGUUAACCGAUGUGAAAAACGUGGGGAUGUGAUUGGAAUGUACCCAAUACAAAGCGGAUGUCAGUAUGGUGAUGGUCAAUGCAUAAAUGUAGGAGGACAGGGUUUAUAUAAAUGUAUUUUAUAUUCUUGUGAGACACAGAAUAUAAAUGGUCUGUCAUAUCAUACUACAAAACCAAUUGCUGCAAUGUGUGAAGACUCCCAGGGGGUGUGUCAUAGUAAUGGAGCGAACAUGCAGAUGAUUAUUAAUGGAAAUAUUACAGCAAAUUGUAAUUGUAUGGUUAAUGGAUUAAAUGUUGGUUAUAAAUGUAAUGGAUAAUAAA